UCGUAAUGGGGAUCUUCUUUAGUGGCUGGAAUGGCAUUAAUUUUUUUUAUUUGCCACUAAAGCCACUGAAGAAGAUCCCCAUUAC
rnacentral:pre_miRNA from 1 species